rnacentral:rRNA from 1 species
UACGGAGGGUGCAAGCGUUAUCCGGAUUCACUGGGUUUAAAGGGUGCGUAGGCGGGUAGGUAAGUCAGUGGUAAAAUCUUCGAGCUUAACUCGGAAACUGCCUUUGAUACUAUCUAUCUUGAAUAUUGUGGAGGUAAGCGGAAUAUGUCAUGUAGCGGUGAAAUGCUUAGAUAUGACAUAGAACACCUAUUGCGAAGGCAGCUUACUACGCAUAUAUUGACGCUGAGGCACGAAAGCGUGGGGAGCAAACAGG